GGGACAUUACCGAGUUUACAACUCCCAAACCCAAUGUGAACGUUACCAAACUGUUGCCUCGGCGGGAUCUCUGCCCCGGGUGCGUCGCAGCCCCGGACCAAGGCGCCCGCCGGAGGACCAACCAAAACUCUUAUUGUAUACCCCCUCGCGGGUUUUUUUAUAAUCUGAGCCUUCUCGGCGCCUCUCGUAGGCGUUUCGAAAAUGAAUCAAAACUUUCAACAACGGAUCUCUUGGUUCUGGCAUCGAUGAAGAACGCAGCGAAAUGCGAUAAGUAAUGUGAAUUGCAGAAUUCAGUGAAUCAUCGAAUCUUUGAACGCACAUUGCGCCCGCCAGUAUUCUGGCGGGCAUGCCUGUCCGAGCGUCAUUUCAACCCUCGAACCCCUCCGGGGGGUCGGCGUUGGGGAUCGGCCCUGCCUUGGCGGUGGCCGUCUCCGAAAUACAGUGGCGGUCUCGCCGCAGCCUCUCCUGCGCAGUAGUUUGCACACUCGCAUCGGGAGCGCGGCGCGUCCACAGCCGUUAAACACCCAACUUCUGAAAUGUUGACCUCGGAUCAGGUAGGAAUACCCGCUGAACUUAAGCAUAUCAAUAAGCGGAGGGAAUAGC
rnacentral:rRNA from 1 species